rnacentral:misc_RNA from 1 species
AAGUCGUAACAAGGUUUCCGUAGGUGAACCUGCGGAAGGAUCAUUAACACGUAUCCAAACGUUAAACCCCCCUGUGAACCUUCACCUGUGCUCGUACGUCCGUUAGAAAAAGCAGCAAUCCCUGGUAAAUCAUCGCCGAACAGUUUUCGAUUCAGGGACGUCUGCAAGGAGCGUGCAUGUUGCGCGAAGUAAGUGGCCUGGCAUCCCCAAGCACUUAAUGUCUGAAAGUGUCAUUAAACUGUGUAAGGAUGACGCAGUCACGAUCGUUGGAGGCCCACACGGCCGACGACCGGGCCGCUGGGCGCAAGCCCCCCUACGACACCCCUGCUAAAAGCGGCCGCGAGGUUUCUUUGCAGUCGAUUAAAACCGAACAACUGUUAACAAUGGAUAUCUUGGUUCUC